rnacentral:lncRNA from 13 species
AUGACCCCCCUGUGGAGCUGCUCCCCAUGGCAUGGGGACACCCCCGGCACCCUUCGGGCCUGGCUGGGGCUGGGGGCUCCUUGCAGGGCCCACCCCCAUGCCAACAGUCACCAAGUGCAGGGGUCCUGGCCACCCCAGCUCUGUGUCCAUCGCCUGGCCGGGUGUCUCCACACAGGUGCCACCUCCCCCCUCCCGCAGCAGCUCGGGGAUGUCCCCGGGGCUGCCAGGAGCUGUCACGGCCAUCGACUCCUCACGGCCACGCGUUCUCCUCCAGCCCCUCGCGCUCCCGCGGGGCCCAGGGGGGCUCCAGGAGCGCGGAGGGGAUGCUCUGCAGAGCCCCCCAGGCCUUGGGGCUGCCGUUCGAGGCUCGGUGGGCGCCUGCCCCGUACCCCCGGGGGGUGGGAAUCCGGGACGGCGUCUUGUGGGGCUGCGUGUCCAGCCGGGGCUUGGCCCAAGGCCGCGGCGGGGGCGCGGGGACCCCCGGCCCGGCGCUCUCCUCCAUCUCCAUCAGCUCGUCCUCCCCGGUCGCCCAGUCGGUGUCGGAGCCGGGGUUCCCCGGGGUCUCCCGGUUGUCCCAGGAGGCCGGGAAGCAGCAGCUCUCGUCGGAGGAGCUGGAGAAGGUGGAGCGGCGCCUCGCAGCUGCCAGGGUGGGGUUGGACGGCAGCGGGGGGCAGCCGCCGUUGUUGCCGUUGCUGUUGCCGUUGUUGCCGUCGCUGCUGCUGCCGCCCCGCCGCCCGUCCUCGGCGGGCAGCCCGUGCUUGGCGAACACGUUCAGUGAGGAAGACGAGGAUGACGAGGAGCAAUAGGCCGAGUCAGCGGUGGCAGGGGGCGCGGGGGGGGGGCUCUCCGUGUCCCCCAGCUGCUCCAGCAGCCGCGUGUUGGCCAGGAAUUCCUCCUCCAGCCGCUGGAACAGCCGCUGCUCCUGCCCGGGCUCCAGCCAGCGCGGGGCCCGCAGCCUCCGCGCCAGCUCCUCGGGGUCCCCGGGGCCGGGCCGGGGGUCGCGCCGCCCCCCGGGGCUCCCCACGGGGCAGGCCCCGGCCGCGGGGGGCUCUGCCCGUGCCCACGAGUGCUGCCCGUCGGGCCGGCGGCGGAUGA